rfam:Schistosoma curassoni strain Dakar, Senegal genome assembly, scaffold: SCTD_contig0003420
AUUCAGCUGACGAAUCUCAAAUAGGACAAAACGCGCGUUUUGGAU